AACAACACCCCGGGUUCACAGGGCUGGCUGCGGGAUCAUGUUACGCAAGCUAACAUUGCUAUUGCUACGUCUAUGUACCUGGGUAGUGUAUGAUUUCUUCGCGAUGAUGCAUCUCCAACAAACUUAUCCACGGGUUGAAGCUCUUGGGGAUGACGAUCACUCCCCUCUGCACGUUGAACCUCAGGGCCACCUGGGCUGUGGUCUUCUUGUACUUUUUAGCGACCGAUACCAGCAGCUCAUCGUCCAACAGCGGAGGGCAUUUAAGAUUCACCCUGUUUUUGUUUUUAAAAGACAGGAUGGAUCUCUACUUGUCCCCAAGGGGCUGUAUCCCACAAUGACAAUAUUGUGCUGCCGGCAGUAUUCAAGCAACUUUGGCUGAGUGAAAUAGGGAUGGCAUUCAACCUAUAUUUAAAAAAGCACAAAUGAUGUUUGUUAGUUCUUUAAAAUAGACUGAAUUAAAUUCUAAGUUGCUGACUCA